rnacentral:rRNA from 1 species
UACGUAGGGGGCUAGCGUUGUCCGGAAUCAUUGGGCGUAAAGCGCGUGUAGGCGGCCCGGUAAGUCCGCUGUGAAAGUCCAGGGCUCAACCCUGGGAUGCCGGUGGAUACUGUCGGGCUCGAGUCCGGAAGAGGCGAGUGGAAUUCCUGGUGUAGCGGUGAAAUGCGCAGAUAUCAGGAGGAACACCGAUGGCGAAGGCGGUUCUCUGGGCAUGUCUGACGCUGAGGAGCGAAAGUGUGGGAGCGAACAGG